GUUGAUUCAAACUUUUAUUCUUUUAAGUCUGCACUUGGUGGGUCCUCUUUCUGGUUUUCUGACUCUGUGACAACCACCUUUACAAAAAUCCAAAUUAUCAGGACCUGAAUAAGUAGAUUUAUUGCAAAAUUCAUCUUGACUUCCACAUUGAUGCUACAUUCCUUGUUAUUCAUUAUUUGAUCCAUUACUUUUGUCAAUUUGCCAACAGAUCAAUGAAAAGACAUCCCAAGCCCUCCCUCUGGACAGUACCAGACCCCAUCUGUUGGUGGAUCAGCAAGUUCCCCACUUGUUUCUGAUGGAGUGCCUUGAACCAGCAUUCUCUCCAACGGCCAGCAGGGGGCAGCAAUACAGAUUCCACAGACUGUGUAAGAUAUGAAGGGGCGGUCUGAAAUCAUUGGCUGGAUCUUACGAAGGACACGACCCAUGGAGGUACUUCCCUCAUAAAUCCUGAAGGCCACGCUGACCCCAUGCCUUCACCCAGAAUGACACCGUCUGGCCUGACAGACUUGAGGUAAUGAUACAUUCCAGGGGGGGGCUUAUUUACUCGUAAUGUUAACUAUCUAAAAGUUUACGAGCAAAUCUUCAUUAGUGGGAAUGUGUACUGAAAACUCGUGACUUUCACCUUUCACUCAGACGUGUGAUGUUCUCGCAAACGUAUCAAUAACUUCUGUUUUGUAUUAAUCAUUGUGAUUUCUACUCAGCUUACAGGAACUAAACUUUGUUGGUCAUUGCUUCCAUUAUUCACACUGGGCACCAGCAUUUUCAUUGGUCUGGUUAAAGGGCUAUAAAACCAGUGAUGAUUGACCACCUAAGUGCAAAUAUCUGGAAAAUAGAACACGUGCACAUGAUACUUCCUGGCUUUAUGGGUUGAGAGCAACUGCCUGACUGCAUCAUUAAUUAACUGGCCAGUGCUCAAUGGAUUAUUGGAUGCUAAUGGCUUCAAAGAUUCACUGCCAUGUCGUCCAACUUUGGAAAAAAGGAGGCUGCUUUCUUUUCACUUGAAAAUUAGAAAAGAUUUCUUGGCUUGAUACAAUGCAUUAGGCCUUGAAGGGCCCAGACCCUGAACUAGAACACAGUGAAGAAUCACUGAGCAACAAAUAGUCGUGAGGGUUGCAAUAGUUGUGCCUGAAGCAAUCUCACAACCAAUCACAGGACACCAUAUUACCUCUGGGAGCUGGUGUAUUCAGCAGUCAGAUGAAAAGGAAACAAACCUCCCCCUCCAGCAGUAAGAACCUGAGAACAUCCCCAAAAGGCACACCUUUUCAUCUGUCUCUGGUGAGUCUCAGCUUCAUUGUAAAAGGUAAGUGACACAAAGGCUUCUUUCUGGCUUACUUCAGCUGUAACAACCUGAAAACCUCCCCCAAAAUAUCACCUUUCCUGUGAUUCUGGUGAGUCUAGGUUUCACUGUAAUUUCUAAGUUACACAGAGGCUUCAUUCUAGCUUACUUUAGUGGUAAGAACCUGGAAACAUCCCCUAGGAGAGCACCUUUUCAUCUGUCUCUGAGUCUCAGCUUCACUGUAUAUAGUUAACUACACUCACGGGUUGUUUGUUGGAUGGUGGGUAUUUGCAUGCAUUUAUAUGAUUUGACACUUGUUUGUUCUACCUUUUAUAAAGAAACAAAGUUCAAAUGAGUCACUGUAAUUAGUUAGUUUCACAGUCUUUACUCUGGCUUAAUAUAUCAUUUUUGAAACAGGAAAAUAAUCUUUAAUUCUGUUCUUUUGCAGGAA